GAGUUUGAUCCUGGCUCAGAUUGAACGCUGGCGGCAGGCCUAACACAUGCAAGUCGAGCGGAUGAGAGGAGCUUGCUCCUGGAUUCAGCGGCGGACGGGUGAGUAAUGCCUAGGAAUCUGCCUGGUAGUGGGGGACAACGUUUCGAAAGGAACGCUAAUACCGCAUACGUCCUACGGGAGAAAGCAGGGGACCUUCGGGCCUUGCGCUAUCAGAUGAGCCUAGGUCGGAUUAGCUAGUUGGUGAGGUAAUGGCUCACCAAGGCGACGAUCCGUAACUGGUCUGAGAGGAUGAUCAGUCACACUGGAACUGAGACACGGUCCAGACUCCUACGGGAGGCAGCAGUGGGGAA
rnacentral:rRNA from 1 species